rnacentral:lncRNA from 1 species
AGUACCAAUUGUGAAUGAGUGAUUCUGAGUGCUUUCUCACGUGAUUGCAUUUAACACUUAGGUCAGUUCUUUGUCAGUGCUUGCAUGACUUUUUUAGUCACUUUCUUAGAAACUGUCUUAGUGUCUGCUCCAUCUUUCUUCUUUUCCAUUUCCAACCUCAGCUAACCCAGAAAUUGUUUUUACAAAUAACUCAUACCCCACUUCCUUCAGUUCACUUUUUGUAUAGUUACUAUAUUAAUCUAUU